rfam:Microgenomates (Gottesmanbacteria) bacterium GW2011_GWA1_43_11 TV59_C0009, whole genome shotgun sequence.
GUAUAAAUAAUCGUUAACCCAGAGACAGUAGGUCAUGGCCCUCAUGUUAAAUUCUAAUGAAUGGCCGGAUAAAUCCUACCGAGGAAACAAGAUAUUUAGAGUGGAAAAUUGACCACCUAUUCUUUUUGUAACCCUCGGUCGCGAGGGUUUUUUGAUAGUUUU